UUCAGUAUGUGCCAACCUGUAACCUUGAUAGGUCGACACAUUCGUUCUGAGGUCGACUCAUAAGUGCAGAUUGAGUCAUUUAUCUUCUCUUUGGUUAAAUACUUUUCAUUUCUCAUACAUGCACUUAAGCUCUCAAGUUCCCAAACUUUAUCUAAAAUUCUAAAACUCAUUCAAUCACAUUAAAUUUUGUGUAUUUCACUCAUCCCACAUCAUUAUAAUCUUUAGUUUCAUAAAAAAAU
rnacentral:lncRNA from 1 species